GCUUAACUAAUUCCUGAGUUCAGCCGGAGCAGAGAGCACUUCGCCCGCGCAGCCGUUCUCAGGCAGAAGGAGUCCGUGCGGCGUUCAGCGCUGGUGGCGUUCAGCGCUGGUGGGGUUCGGCGUGUGAUGCAACGCGAGGAAGGUGUGACUUUUUCCGCGGGGCCGAAAGGCGCGGCAGUCCCUCCCCGGGCUGGCGCGCCGGCGGGAUUAAGUUGCGCGUGUCGCGUCCCGUGCUCGGACAGAGGCGCGGGGCAGGAACGCAGAGGUAGGGCGCACGCGAAAACACCCAGAAGUUCCCACCUGAGACGCGGCGACGCGCCGUGGAAACUACCGAGCUGACGCCUCACCCGGAGGGACUGUUGUUUUUUUUUUUUCUCUGCACUUUUUUUUUUAUUUGUCCUCCAUCCUGUUUGGUUUCUUUUCUUUUUUUUUCGUUUUGUUUACUGGCGGAAUGUUCCGGGCUCUCUUCCUCUUAGUCGCCUUUACUAAGCUUCCUGUGUGAGCCCUGACGCAGCAGCGCUGGCGAUCUCAGGAGAGCGGCUCGGUGUCUCGCUAACGCUAACGCUAACCGCUAACCGCGCCGGGGCCCCAGACGGUGGGCGAUCUGUGUCACGGCCAGCGUUGGAUGACACGGCGUUUGUUCUUCCUUCCCCUCUGCCAGGUGACAGGUGACAGGCGACAGGAGCCAUGCAGUGAAAUGCGGCCCUCUGAUUUCCUCUUUGAGGAAGGCGAGGGCCGGACGGGAGCCGGUCGCACCGCGGCUGAUCCCCGGGUGCGCGCCUCACACAGUCCUGAGAGAACAAUGGGCAUUCCGCUGCGGGUACGCCGAAUUCCUCAGCUGGGCCCACGGGCCUCUGAGACGGGGCCUGGCUGUGAGGCCGUCGUACGUGGGGGGGUGACGAGAGAGACCCCCCCCCCCACCCCCCGCCCCCCAGCCCGGAGACUCGCUGCUGGCAAAAGAGCACACAGAGCAAAACUGAGAAUGAUGGAGAAGAGGAACCCCGAUGCCUGGCUGCUAAGGUUGUGUCUGAGACAGUGUCUUACCUGGGACUUAAAGAACCAAGACCCUGUGAGUGUGUCUGAGACAGUGUCUUAACUGGGAACCUAAAAACCCAAGCCGCUGUGGUUGUGUCUGAGACAGUGUCCUAGCUGGGACUUAAAGAUCCAAGCUGCUGUGGUUGUGUCUGGGACAUUAUCUUAGCUGGGACUUAAAGAACCAGGCCACCGUGUUUGUGUCUGAGGCAUUAUCUUAGCUGGGACUUAAAGAAUCAAGGCACCAUGUUUGUGUCUGAGACAUUGUCUUAGCUCGGACCUUAAGAUCCAAGCCGCUGUGUUUGUGUCUGAGACAGUGUCUUAGCUGGGACUUAAAAAACCAAGUCGCUGUGGUUGUGUCAGAGACAGUGUCUUAGCUGGGACUUAUAGAUCCAAGCCCCUGUGGGUGUUUCUGUGUCAGUAUUUAUGUGGGAUUUAAAGAAUGAAGACGCUGUGCUUGUGUCUGAGACAUUGUCUUAGCUGGGACCUAAAGAACCAAGCUGCCGUGGGUGCGUCUGAGACAGUGUCUUAGUUGGGACUUAAAGAACCAAGCCGCUGUGUUUGUGUCUGAGACAGUGUCUUAGCUGGGACCUAAAGAUCCAAGCCGCUGUGUUUGUGUCUGAGACAGUGUCUUAGCUGGGACCUGAAGAUCCAAGCCGCUGUGUUUGUGUCUGAGACAUUGUCUUAGCUGGGACCUGAAGAUCCAAGCCGCUGUGGGUGUUUCUGUGGCAGUGUCUUAGCUGGUUGUUGUGAGGAGUGAGAAUAAAGCAAUCAGCAAGUAUACUGCCGCAAAAACUCUUCACGCUAUGAGGCCCCUGCAUCUGCAGAGCUGCUGGAGGACGAGCAAGGAUGGGCAAGGUAGGUUCACUCUUUAUCAUGGUCUCUGCGGUGGUGUGGCAGGGAGGGCAUUGAGACGUGACCAUGGCCAUAAUGCUGAAACAGUGCUGCAAACAAAUAAAUACGAAUUAUCUCACUCUCACAAAAAAGCACUGCUCUCAUUUUAUCAUAAGAACUUCGCCCUAAGGCAAAAACUGUAUUCUUUCCGUAGAACAGUAUUGAACGUGAGCUAGUUUCAUUCAACGUGAGCAAAUGUACAAAUUUUUUGUGUCUCUAAUUUCAUUCACGUUCUCAUGAUCCUAAAACAAAGCUUUUGUUCUAUGCAUUUUCACAUGGAUGUAUAGUAGAUUAUAUUUAUUUAUUUAUUUAUUUAUUUGUUCAUUGAUCAGGAAAGUUGAAAAUCUAAAAUAUGA